rnacentral:rRNA from 1 species
AUUGAACGCUGGCGGCGGGCUUAACACAUGCAAGUCGAACGAGUAGCGGACGGGUGAGUAAUGCUUGGGAAUCUGGCUUAUGGAGGGGGAUAACUACGGGAAACUGUAGAUAAUAGCGCGUACCAUAGGAUGGGCCAAAGCGGGAUUAGGUAGUUGGGGAGGUAAAGGCUCACCAAGCCGACGAUCUCUAGCAGGUCUGAGAGGAUGACCAGCCACACUGUGACUGAGACACGGCCCAGAAUCCGACGGGAGGCAGCAGUGGGGAAUAUUGCGCAAUGGGGGCAACCUGACGGAGCCAUGCCGCGUGAAUGAGGAAGGCCUUCGGGUUGUAAAGUUCUUUCGGUAGCGAGGCGUUAACUACAGAAGAAGCACCGGCUAACUCCGUGCCAGCAGCCGCGGUAAUUC